rnacentral:rRNA from 1 species
CCUACGGGAGGCAGCAGUGAGGAAUAUUGGUCAAUGGGAGGAAUCCUGAACCAGCCAUGCCGCGUGCAGGACGACGGCUCUACGAGUUGUAAACUGCUUUUGUACCGGGGCAAAAUGCUCCACGAGUAGGGUUCCGAAAGUACGGUACGAAUAAGCAUCGGCUAACUCCGUGCCAGCAGCCGCGGUAAUACGGAGGAUCCGAGCGUUAUCCGGAUUUAUUGGGUUUAAAGGGAGCGUAGGUGGAUUGUUAAGUCAGUUGUGAAAGUUUGCGGCUCAACCGUAGAAUUGCAGUUGAAACUGGCAGUCUUGAGUACAGUAGAGGUGGGCGGAAUUCGUGGUGUAGCGGUGAAAUGCUUAGAUAUCACGAAGAACUCCGAUUGCGAAGGCAGCUCACUGGACUGCAACUGACGCUGAGGCUCGAAAGUGUGGGUAUCGAACAGGAUUAGAUACCCGAGUAGUC